AUUGAACGCUGGCGGCAUGCUUUACACAUGCAAGUCGAACGGCAGCGCGGGCUUCGGCCUGGCGGCGAGUGGCGAACGGGUGAGUAAUAUAUCGGAACGUGCCCAGUAGUGGGGGAUAGCUCGGCGAAAGCCGGAUUAAUACCUCAUACGACCUGAGGGUGAAAGCGGGGGAUCUUCGGACCUCGCGCUAUUGGAGCGGCCGAUGGCAGAUUAGCUAGUUGGUGGGGUAAAGGCCUACCAAGGCGACGAUCUGUAGCUGGUCUGAGAGGACGACCAGCCACACUGGGACUGAGACACGGCCCAGACUCCUACGGGAGGCAGCAGUGGGGAAUUUUGGACAAUGGGCGAAAGCCUGAUCCAGCAAUGCCGCGUGUGUGAUGAAGGCCUUCGGGUUGUAAAGCACUUUUGGCGGGAACGAAAAGGACUGUGCCAAUACCACGGUUCGAUGACGGUACCCGCAGAAUAAGCACCGGCUAACUACGUG
rnacentral:rRNA from 1 species